GCCAGACUCCUACGGGAGGCAGCAGUGGGGAAUAUUGCACAAUGGGGGAAACCCUGAUGCAGCAACGCCGCGUGAGUGAAGAAGUAUUUUGGUAUGUAAAGCUCUCUCAGCAGGGAAGAAAAUGACGGUACCUGAGUAAGAAGCCCCGGCUAACUACGUGCCAGCAGCCGCGGUAAUACGUAGGGGGCAAGCGUUAUCCGGAUUUACUGGGUGUAAAGGGAGCGUAGACGGCGAUACAAGUCUGAAGUGAAAGCCCGGGGCUCAACCCCGGGACUGCUUUGGAAACUGUGUAACUGGAGUACAGGAGGGGCAGGCGGAAUUCCUGGUGUAGCGGUGAAAUGCGUAGAUAUCAGGAGGAACACCGGCGGCGAAGGCGGCCUGCUGGACUGAAACUGACGUUGAGGCUCGAAAGCGUGGGGAGCAAACAGGAUUAGAUACCCCAGUAA
rnacentral:rRNA from 1 species